UACAGAGGUCCCAAGCGUUGUUCGGAUUCAUUGGGCGUAAAGGGUGUGUAGGUGGCGCGCUAAGUCGGGUGUGAAAUUUCGGAGCUUAACUGCGAAACUGCAUUCGAUACUGCCGUGCUUGAGGACUGGAGAGGAGACUGGAAUUUACGGUGUAGCGGUGAAAUGCGUAGAUAUCGUAAGGAAGACCAGUGGCGAAGGCGGGUCUCUGGACAGUUCCUGACGCUGAGGCACGAAGGUCAGGGGAGCAAACGGG
rnacentral:rRNA from 1 species